UACAGAGGUCUCAAGCGUUGUUCGGAUUCAUUGGGCGUAAAGGGCGCGUAGGCGGCGGGGUAAGUCUGGUGUGAAAUCUAGGAGCUCAACUCCUAAACUGCACUGGAUACUGCUCUGCUAGAGGACUGGAGAGGAGACUGGAAUUCACGGUGUAGCGGUGAAAUGCGUAGAUAUCGUAAGGAAGACCAGUGGCGAAGGCGGGUCUCUGGACAGUUCCUGACGCUGAGGCACGAAGGCCAGGGGAGCAAACGGG
rnacentral:rRNA from 1 species